UACGGAGGAUGCAAGCGUUAUCCGGAAUCAUUGGGCGUAAAGGGUCCUGAGGUGGUUUGCUAAGUCUACUGUGAAAGAUCAGGGCUCAACCCUGAAGAUGCGGUGGAAACUGGCAGGCUAGAAUACGGUAGGGGCAGGGGGAAUUCCCGGUGUAGCGGUGAAAUGCAUAGAUAUCGGGAAGAACACCAAAGGCGAAGGCACCCUGCUGGGCCGACACUGACACUGAGAGACGAAAGCUAGGGGAGCGAAUGGG
rnacentral:rRNA from 1 species